AAUAUCCCACAACAGGGAUAACCUUGAAUUCCUGAUCUUCCUGCUUCUGUUUCCAAGUGCUGGAAUUACAGGAAAAUUAGCUGAUUGACUGGAAAUGAAGCCAGGAGACAGCUCCAAGGCCAGGGACACUGGUCUCCACGGCCCCUUCCUCCUAAGUCAAGCUGUCUGCACUGGCCUCGAUCUGUGGAAAGGGCUGCUGGAGUUCGUUGGCUGUUUGCAUAAUUUCCUCUGCCUUCUCGGGUCACAUACAAGGAUGCCACAUGAGGAAGAUGUAGAACCCUCAGCUCUGCCUGCACCA